GUCAAGUCAGCAUGGCCUUUAUGUCCUGGGCUACACACACGCUACAAUGGCCAACACAAUAGGUUGCUAAGCCGCGAGGUGGAGCCAAUCCUCAAAGUUGGUCUCAGUUCAGAUUGCAGGCUGCAACCCGCCUGCAUGAAGAUGGAGUUGCUAGUAACCGCAGGCCAGCUAUACUGCGGUGAACACGUUCCCGGGGCUU
rnacentral:rRNA from 1 species